rnacentral:rRNA from 1 species
GAUAAACGCUGGCGGCGUGCAUGAGACAUGCAAGUCGAACGAAGGAUCGGGCUUGCUCGAUCCUUAGUGGCGGACGGCUGAGUAACGCGUAGGUGACCUACCCCGAAGUGGGGAAUAACUGCCCGAAAGGGUGGCUAAUACCGCAUGUGGUCGCACGUUCAUUCGUGCGAGUAAAGCCGCAAGGCGCUUCGGGAGGGGCCUGCGUCCGAUUAGCUCGUUGGUGGGGUAAUGGCUUACCAAGGCGACGACCGGUAGGUGGUCUGGGAGGACGAUCACCCAGGCUGGGAAUGAGGCACGGCCCAGGAUGCUACGGGAGGGAGGAGUCGGGAAAUUUUGUCAAUGGGGGAAACCCUGAAGCAGCAACGCCGCGUGAGGGAUGAAGGCCUUCGGGUUGUAAACCUCUUUUGUCAGGGACGAUGAUGACGGUACCUGGCGAAUAAGCCACGGCUAACUACGUG